AGGUCAAGGUAAGAGACUGAUUAUUUUUUAUUUUAAUUUCAAGGCUCUGUUCGGAUCCUCUGCACGUGUGAGGGAAAACUGUAAGAAAUAAACAAAGCACAUAAAUCAAGCUUUAAAAGAGAAAAAAAUCUCUAUCCGGAAGGAUUUUUCCCCCACGAUGAAGAGCGUGAACACUAUAUUUCCCUGGAGAAAUAUUUCGGUCCAGGAAGGAGGAGAGUGCAUGCAGUGUGAGUGUGAGUGUGUAUGCGCGUCUGUGUGUGUGUGUGAGAGUGUGCCGUGCGUGCGCGCCCGCGGAGAGAAAGGCGGGGGGAGGCGGAUGAGGAGGAUGAGAUCAUAGUUUCAGGAUCCUCAGGAAACCCUGGUACUGGCAGCAGCCAGCCUCUGCUGUGCCCACAUGACCCACAACUCUGGCAGCGGACCCGGCACUUUCAACAUUAUUAAAUAAUAAGAAAGCGGCUUCUGCUCCAUGCCCAAACCUCCCUACAGACCAGUGGACACCUUCUAAGAGUUUGGCGAGUCGGUGACUGGGACGCGCGUCCAUUCCAAGGACCAGGAUGGCAGCAGCAACAAGUAGCUGAGGCCCAAGAGGCAGUAAGCAAUGAGGGAAGCGGAGCUGAAGAGGGAGGUGAGUAUGACGGGGAUACAAAUGUACAAUUUGGGGGGCGGUAUCUUGCCGUUUCAAGCAAGGGUGGCCAAUGUCCAAUUCUCGUUGAUCUCGGUGGCUAUAAGGUCUAUCUGUUGUUAAAAGUCCAGGAUGACAGCGCGUUACAGGUAGUUGAUCUCUUCUUGGCGGCGAAGAGCUGUAGAGGCAGACUGUGUGAUGGUCUGGAGGAUCGCAGCGGUGAGGACAAGUCGCAUCAGGGCACCAGCG
rnacentral:lncRNA from 1 species